AACCUACCCACUUUCUGGGAACAUUGCUUUUUCCUUGCAGACUCUGAAGUGGGUGAAUGCAGUUCUAUUUAUGUAGCAAAUUAGAGGUUUGCAUGACUACUGAUUAGCUAACUUCAGAAACUGCAGUAAGGAGUUCUUGUCGAAGAUAUUGAACUGGACAUUUAGUGGAGCUCCAGUGGAUUGAACAGCUCAGAAACAUUGAUUUGAAGCUGUGCUGAACAUACUUCGUACCUCUGUUGAAGAUGCAUUUCCCUGGGUCUAAAGGAAGGUGUUUUCUCAGAUGCACCCACCCUUAUGCCAUCUCAAAGAGGAGCAGGGGCUGACUGCUGCACUACAGGACUUGCAGGAAGGGAUUUCUGGGCAAAUUGUAUCAUGAACAGAAUAUACCUCUGUUGCAUUGGCUGUGAAGCAGAUUGCAAAACCUGUCUAGAGUUAUGCAAGUGUGAUACAAAGUUAGGGAACUCAACCUGUGUUUUGAUCUUGAUUUAUUAAAAAAAAAAAAAAGAAAAAGAAAAAAAAAAACGAAAUGUGAGAAGAACUUCAAUAUGAUAUAAAUGGUUUUAAUUUUUUAGCUAAGAAAGAAAAUUCAUGAGGGAAGAUCCAAGUUCAAAUUAAUUUAAAUUUGAUCAUAAAAGAGUGAUGGAGGACUUCUAGUCCAAAAGGGAGCUCAUUACCUGCCUAUUAAUAGCAAGCUAUUCACAGAGAUGGUCCAAGUGAAAUGUGUGGCAAUUUCCACCAUUUUGUUUUCAUGUUCAAUUUGACAGGAGUCGGUGGAAAUUAUGCUUGUAGGUCUGAUAGGAUUUCUGUGGCUAACAAAAGCAGGAACAAUUCAAUAUUAUGAAGUAUUUAUAAGUCCCUAAGGCACAUUUACAGAUGUCCUUGGCAACAUCAAUUUCUAGCCUGUUAAUAGCUUUAAAAGCUAAAAGCAGAACUGUAGACCUUUUCUAGGCACCAAAAAGCAGCAAAUGCUGACAGACAAGUAGUGAGUAGGCAGGUCCCACUCUACCCACCUCUGAUAACAAUCAAGUCCCUUUAUUGUGCAUUAGCUUCAGGGAAUGGAUUAGCCCUUUUGGCAGCCCACUAUAAAGCACUUUGCAGUAAUCUCAUUUUGAGAUCUGAAAGGCAUGAAUCAUCCAGGUCAAAUUUAAAUUGUACUUUAAGGCUAGAUUCUUAUCUUGUUUGUGCCACAAUGAAUAGAGUACUAUUGCGUAUUAGAGCUCAAGUUGUUACGCUGCCAUGUAAUGUCAGCAUGCAGGUACACAAAAUUGGGCCCUAAAACUGAAAAAAAAUUGGCCUACUAGUAAAAAUAAGCUGAGGGAG
rnacentral:lncRNA from 7 species